GAGAGCUAGAGAGAGCGAAAGAGGGGAAGGAAACAAAGAGAUGACUACAACAACAAUCACUUCCUCUAAUUGUGUGUCUCCCCCUUGGCUGUCCGCUGAGAACUGUGGCAUUUCACUUCUGUCUUUAUCAGUCAAAAAAAGAGAGGCUAACUAAUUUAGGUCUAACGCCCCACUCGUUAGCGAUGAGGGGUCAGAGAACAUCCUGCUUUCUCAGAACCAGUAGUUACGCCACUAUACCCCUCCUUCCUGCCUAACGGGAAGGAAGGAUUAUUUAUGAAAAAUGGAGAAGUACUGUAUGUCAACACGCAUCUUACUCCGCCCACACAAACUGUGACAGGGCUGAAACCCACAGCCGAUUCUGCUUGAAUGAUCCCAUCAAACCAACCAUGGGCAGGCUCCCUACCAGCAGGCCAGCCUCCCUACCAGCAGGCCUGCCUCCAGCCACUGCCAGCAGGCAGCCAGCCUGGUAUGUCAGGUAUAUGGGGAGGAGAGAUGGGGGGGCCAUUCUAGAGCUACAAGCAAGUCAAGACGACGCAAAAUUGGUUCACAUUUCAAGAAUCCAUGGUGCAAUUGCAUUGUACACUCUAUACAAUGACAUGGUCACACUGUGAUCUACAAAUGGUCAUACUAUCAACAAACUAUCUGUUGUUAGGCAUCUGCUUGCUAAGAUCACGUUUAGGUUUAGAAUAAGGUUUAGGGUAAGGGUUAAGGUUAAGGUUCGGAUUAGGGCUAGGGCUAGGGCUAGUGUCUACUUCGUUGAAAUGUUUUUUGACAGUUAUUAUAUCUACGAAACAUCUACCGUACUUGGGACUACCCAAUAGAAGUACUACCUGACAGGAUAUUAUUCACUCACAGUCCAAAUUAAUGUUAGAGUUUUAACUCAGUGAGUCAGUUUGGACAAAUGUUAACUUUGGUUCAGUUCUGCAACAUUAGGUAAACAUUGUUGCAGGGUCACGGAAUGACCAAAGUAUUUUCAGAUUAAUUAUAUAAAAUAUUAAGCUCUCAGAUAGGGUCUGUGAAGUUUCUGUAACGUGCCGUUUGCUCCUCACCCAGUUCCCCUUUGCGAGUCUCAGAAAAGGGAACUUGGCCAACAAGCACUCAUGCAUUCUCAAACUAAAACAAAUGAGCCUGCAUAAGAAAUUUGAGGAAGCACACAAAUGAUUGCAUCUAUGAACUCCAAACAAACCAAAUUGCAGAAAACUCUUCCUCACUUUAAGAUGCCUGUGGAAUUUACAGGGACCUGAGCCCUAGGACCAUGCCUCAGGACUACCUGGCAUGAUGACUCCUUGCUGUCCACAGUCCACCUGGCCGUGCUGCUGCUCCAGUUUCAACUGUUCCACCUGACGCUAUGGAAUCCUGACCUGUUCACCGGACGUGCUACCUGUACCAGACCUAUUAUUUGACCAUGCUGGUCAUUUAUGAACAUUUGAACAUCUUGACCAUGUUCUGUUAUAAUCUCCACCCGGCACAGCCAGAAGAGGACUGGCCACCCCUCAUAACCUGGUUCCUCUCUAGGUUUCUUCCUAGGUUUUGGCCUUUCUACUAAGUUUUUCCUAGCCAACAGGCUUCAACACCUGCAUUGCUUGCUGUUUGGGGUUUUAGGCUGGGUUUCUGUACAGUACUUUGAGAUAUCAGCUGAUUUGAUUUGUUUACAGCAUGAGUAGAGGCACUUGUUUUGAGAUCAAAGCAAGAGAUGCAUGUAGCCAGGUGUACACAUUGUGUUCAUAACCAUUGGUUGUUAGUGAGUUAUUAGCCCAGAUAUAGAUCAUUAGUAGUCAGCAAUAGGGAAUUGAUUGCUUUCUACAAGAGCACAAUACUUGGACAUUUCUAGACAUCUUUGAAAGCGAAUCAGGUAAAGAGCUUUUUUUGUCUUGAAGGGGCAGUGUUGUAUUUUGAGACAAGCUUGAUUAAGCUAAGUGGCCAAUAGGCAGAGGGUAGCAUAAUUUGUCUGAUUCCCUGUAAUAAUGGUAUGGGAAUAAAAAUGCUUUUUAUUUUGUAAA